GGGAAAAAGCCAGCAGAGUUGGUAAGAAGAAAAAAAAGAUUCUGUAAAGUCACGGUAUGGAUAAGAUGUUUCACAUUGUUGUCUUUGACAAGACAAAUGAGGUUGAAGUUGUGCCUUCAGUCUGGAUUAAAAAUGGAGAGUGCAUGUGGCCUCCAAAUAAGAUAGAUAUAACAAAAGCUGUGAAAUCACAGGAGAGUCCUGGAGAUGACUGGAAGCCCCAUAAGGCCAGAAUUAU